rnacentral:rRNA from 2 species
UAUGCGAGUGUUUGGGUGUCAAGCCCGAGCGCGUAAUGAAAGUGAACGGAGGUGGGAACGGCGCACCAUCGACCGAUCCUGAAGUUUACGGAAGGAUUUGAGUAAGAGCAUGGCUGUUGGGACCCGAAAGAUGGUGAACUAUGCUUGAAUAGGGUGAAGCCAGAGGAAACUCUGGUGGAGGCUCGCAGCGGUUCUGACGUGCAAAUCGAUCGUCAAAUUUGGGCAUAGGGGCGAAAGACUAAUCGAACUAUCUAGUAGCUGGUUCCUGCCGAAGUUUCCCUCAGGAUAGCAGUAACGUUUCAGUUUUAUGAGGUAAAGCGAAUGAUUAGAGGCAUGGGGGUUGAAACAACCUUCACCUAUUCUCAAACUUUAAAUAUGUAAGAAGCCUUGUUACUUAAUUGAACGCGGGCAUUUGAAUGAAACGUUAUUAGUGGGCCAUUUUUGGUAAGCAGAACUGGCGAUGCGGGAUGAACCGAACGAGGGGUUACGGUGCCGGAGUACACGCUCAUCAGACACCACAAAAGGUGUUGGUUCAUCUAGACAGCAGGACGGUGGCCAUGGAAGUCGGAAUCCGCUAAGGAGUGUGUAACAACUCACCUGCCGAAUGAACUAGCCCUGAAAAUGGAUGGCGCUAAGCGUGUCACCUAUCCCCUCCGCCGGGGCAAAAUUUACGCCCCGGCGAGUAGGC